rnacentral:misc_RNA from 1 species
GAAAUAAUUUAAGGUCAGAAAAUUAGUUAUAACAUAAUUCCUGUAAUUUCUAGUAACCCUACACUAAAUACAGGGAACUAAGAGUUAGACAUAUAAUGAUCAACACAACUUUAAUUUCAAUAACUUAUGGCCAUUUUGGAAGUACAAGAACUAAAAUCUAACAUAUAAGAAUUGGUAAACACAAUUUUUAUUUGAGUAACUUGUGACCACUAGCUUAUCUAACAUAUAAUUAUUGCUUAAGCAAGCAAAAAAAGCUUAUCUAACAUGUAAGUAUGGUUAAAGCAAGCAAAACGUACCAGCAACUGAACACUAAAUGUG